rfam:Operophtera brumata OBRT01_Sc00042, whole genome shotgun sequence.
AUUAAGGCCCUUUUCAGGGCCACCACGCCUUAACCUGGUAACUUAC